UACGGGGGGGGUAAGCGUUGUUCGGAAUUACUGGGCGUAAAGGGCGCGUAGGCGGCCUGUUAAGUCGAACGUGAAAUCCCCGGGCUCAACCCGGGAACUGCGUCCGAUACUGGUAGGCUUGAAUCCGGGAGAGGGAUGCGGAAUUCCAGGUGUAGCGGUGAAAUGCGUAGAUAUCUGGAGGAACACCGGUGGCGAAGGCGGCAUCCUGGACCGGCAUUGACGCUGAGGCGCGAAAGCCAGGGGAGCAAACGGG
rnacentral:rRNA from 1 species